rnacentral:rRNA from 1 species
UCCUACGGGAGGCAGCAGUGGGGAAUAUUGGACAAUGGGGGCAACCCUGAUCCAGCGAUGCCGCGUGUGUGAAGAAGGCCUGAGGGUUGUAAAGCACUUUAGUCGGGGAGGAAAGGUAGCAGGUUAAGAGCUAGUUACUAUGACGUUACCCGAAGAAUAAGCACCGGCUAACUCUGUGCCAGCAGCCGCGGUAAUACAGAGGGUGCGAGCGUUAAUCGGAAUUACUGGGCGUAAAGGGCGCGUAGGCGGUUAUGUAAGUUGGAUGUGAAAGGCCUGGGCUUAACCUGGGUAUUGCAUACGAUACUGCAUGGCUAGAAUACAAGAGAGGUAAGUGGAAUUUCCGGUGUAGCGGUGAAAUGCGUAGAUAUCGGAAGGAACAUCAGUGGCGAAGGCGACUUACUGGCUUGAUAUUGACGCUGAGGCGCGAAGGCGUGGGUAGCGAACAGGAUUAGAGACCCUGGUAGUCCACGCGGUAAACGAUGAGAACUAGCUGUUGGGAUGGGAAGACAUCUUAGUAGCGAAGCUAACGCGAGAAGUUCUCCGCCUGGGGAGUACGGUCGCAAGAUUAAAACUCAAAGGAAUUGACGGGGGCCCGCACAAGCGGUGGAGCAUGUGGUUUAAUUCGAUGCAACGCGAAGAACCUUACCUACCCUUGACAUCCUCUUAAUUCUGGGUAA